AGGGGGGGGUAAGGACGGUGCCAGCCGCCGCGGUAAUACCGGCGCCUCAAGUGGUAGUCGCUUUUAUUGGGCCUAAAACGUCCGUAGCCGGUCUGGUACAUUCGUGGGUAAAUCAACCCGCUCAACGGGUUGAAUUCUGCGAGCACGGCCAGACUUGGGACCGGGAGAGGUGUGGGGUACUCUCAGGGUAGGGGUAAAAUCCUGUCAUCCUGAGAGGACCACCUGUUGCGAAGGCGCCACACUAAAACGGAUCCGACGGUCAGGGACAAAACCUAGGGGCACGAACCGGAUUAAAUACCCGGGUAGUCCUAGGUGUAAACGCUGUGGACUUGAUGUUGGGGGCGCUCCGAGCGCUCUCAGUGUCGAAGCGAAGGUGAUAAGUCCACUGCCUGGGGAGUACGGUCGCAAGGCUGAAACUUAAAGGAA
rnacentral:rRNA from 1 species